AGAGGAAGUGAAAACGCUCCUCCCCGCCCGCUUUGGGGAGCUCCCACAACCAUACAAUCAACUCUUUUUACGGCUAGACACUGCCAGCCAUAUCACAGCAUUGAAAAUAACACAUAUUUUAAGACAUUUAUAAGAAUACGAUCGGGAAAAGCCGGUCAUUUUUUGUAGCAUAUAUUUAGCACACGGUGACAACUGUCUCGUUGGAAAAUGCCUUGUAAAUCGCAAUCGCGAAACAAAUGCUGGACAUCAGCUGUCAACUUAGGCUAUGUAGGACUGGUGCUUGUCUUGGUUGGAGGUGCUUCUGCCAUGGAUGUGCUGGUAGCCAAUCAGAUCAGAGCACUCAACGGUACCACGGUCAAAAUCUCCUGCACAUUCACUUCCUGUUACAAGGUGGACAACAGCAAGUUUGCCAUGAAUUGGAGCUACCAGGAGACAGCCAAUGACACCAAGGAGAUGUUCAUGAUCUUUCAAAAGAAUAAGAUGCAGCCUCUGAAUACGGUACGGUUAGGGGAUCGGGUGACGUUUGUGGGGAACCUGGACAAGAACGACGUUUCAGUCACCUUGGCGGACGUGCAGAUCUUUGACGAGGGAUUGUACAACUGCUACGUGCGCAACCCACCUGACCGCGUCCAAGGCCUUGGCGUUAUCGAGCUCAUUGUGGUGACAGAAUUGCCACCACCUCGGGACACCACCAUCGCCGUGGUGAUCGGGGCAUCGGUGGGGGGCAUCCUGGCCCUGCUCAUUCUGUCCAUGGUGGUGGUGAAAUGUGUGCGUCGCCACCGGAAACAGGAGCUUAUCUCCGACGAGCAGAAGAUGGAGGAGGAGGCCAAGCUGGACGGAGAGGGGGGUGCAGAGGAGGGCACAAAACAACUCUAACCAGGCUGCUUGAUCCCGAAGGCCUUGGGUUGGUGGAGCCUGCCCCGCCUCUCAUGAUUUGAAAUAUAUAUUCCCUGCCUGAAGAUGUAUAUUGAACCUUGCUUGGGUCGCCGUCCUGCACCAGCCUCACCCUCUACCCACCGUCCUCUUCUUGGUCUUUCACACAAGAUCUCAGCCCAAGCAACGAACUGCUCCAAGUCUGCUUUAAGUCUGCUUAUCCACAUGCCCUGGUUUCUUGGUCUUCCUUAGAUGUCCCAGAAACGUAGGUAUCUAGAUGACAGGUUAAGAAGAACAGGUUAGGUCAGACGUUUGAACACUGCCACUUUCUCUCUCUCUCUUUCUCUCUCCCUCUCUCGUGGAAACUUUCCACAUUUCGGUUUAUUAGCGCCAUUCUUUAGCGUAUCGUCCAGUGUGCUGUGAUUUAAAUUUGGUUUUGUCUUCCACACACACUGCCAAAAUCUUUUAUAAAAGAGUGACUUCUGUUUACUAGAAAAUGGAGAGAUUUCCCCCUUAUCUAUAGAUAUAGGUUUCCUGUCUUCUUCUCCAACUUCCUGUUUCUCUCUAGGGACCAAAUGUGGCGGGGGGCUUCCACAUCUUCUUUAUAUGAUAGCUAGUUAGAGUGUUUGUGUGCGAGGGACAAGUCAUGUGUGUGUUUGGUGGUGUAAAUGUUUUUGUAUCAGUUUGCAUCUUGAGAACCCCAUAGAUUGCAUCUAACCCUAGGCUCCUGUAGAGGACGUGUACCCUUCCCCCAGUACAUAAAAUGGGAGAUAGAUAUGUAUGUGUGUGUGUGUGUGUGUGUGUGUGUGUGUGUGUGUCCAAGCGCAAGUGUUUGUGUAUGUGGGUGAAUGUGUGGAUAUAUGGACAGUCCCUCUCGGUGAAUAUAUAAACACUUAGCUAGUAUUUUGUUUGUUUGUUGCACUGCUUGCUAACUUGCUGUUGUGUCAUGCUUUUAGUCACACGGGUGCAUUUUGUUGUGCAGUUUGGCAUCGCACCUUAGCAUGUUUUCAUUAGCAUACACUAUGACAGAUCCCCCUAAGCCUAAAGGAAGCCCCAUCAUCCCCAACACUGCAAGGGUUUGAUGCUAACUCAGCUCGAUGCUAACUCAGCUCGAUGCUACCUCAGCUCGAUGCUAACUCAGCUUGAUGCUAGCUCAGCUCCUAAAUGAAAUACUGUAUGUUCCACUGCCUUCAUAGAUACAGGAAGAUAUCUGUUGACAUUGUUGUUACAUGUACAGAUGGGUGAACACACACAUUCACGCCGAAGAACCCUAGCUUACACACACAGGCAGGGACCUUCUUUGUCACACACACACACACACACACACACACAUGCAGAGUACAGUACAGUACUUUCUACAUGCAAUGAUGCAUACCAUGCCUAGUACACAAAUGCAGUGCACCUUCAGGGAACAUAAAUUUGAACAAAAUUCAGUUUGUAAGGACAAAAAUAUAUAGACUUUAUAAACCAAACCAAACUCACUGUACAUAGGGCGAUGUAUUACUGUUGCUGUUUGGAUCAUUUCUGGUGUCUUAUUAUAUAUUUGAAUGUAUUGUUUGAGACUUCAGUUUAUAGAAUUGCUAACUAUUAACUAUUUAGUUGUAAUAGUUCUAGACUAUAUUACACAUGUGGUACAAAAUAAAUCUAUGAAGAAUUUUAGGAUACAUCUAUAUAUGAUUCUAAACUAAAUGGAAUAAAAAAUAUUUCAAGGUUUAUAUUUUACCAAUCUUAAAAAAGAGUCUUGAUUAGCCAGAGAAGAGCUGGGCCACUGCCAGAGUAUUUUACUGAUAAUGUUUGAUACAUUUGUUAAAAGAACAGUUGCUAAAAAAGCAUAGCACAAAGCAUAGACAAUUAUGAAAUAUGAAAAACCAAGCCAAUGUAAGACUCAAAGGUGACAUCUCCAGCAGUACUUUAACACAGGGAUUUCUUACAAAUGUCACUGAGUCAUUUUGAGACCAUAAUGUAUCCACGGAUAUUUUUCAGGCAGUUUAUAGUGAAGCAUAUAGUUUCUGACCACAGGUCUGAUCAGAGGUUUGAACACCAAACCCUCUUCUCAACCACCAUAGCAGUUAUAAAGACAAGUACAAGGGCUGAUUUUUGGGGCAGAAAAUAUUGGCCCAAAAUUUCCAUCAGAAAACUCCCCUUGUGCCAGUUACAUUAAAAUCACAAUUUAUUGGAAGUGUAACCACAUCAAAUAACACAAAUGCAUUAUUUCUUCCAAAACCACAUAGGAAGUAUUUAUUUUACUUCAUCUGGCCCAAUAGCCACUGCCAAAGAUAAUAAACUAACAAGAACAUUACAUGAUUACCUGUAUCAGAACAAAUUCAAUAUUUCUCUAACAGUAUUUAGUUUAUCUCUACUGGGCUAUCAGUCUGUGGAAAUAUAAUCAUAAUACUAAUUAUUAUUAUUAUUAUUAUUAUUAUUAUUAUUAUUAUCAUCAGUGUAUUAGUUUUCUUGAUCUGAUGUCUUUAAUCACUGUUUUAUAUAUUUGUUUCAUGUUUUCCAUAUUUACUUGCUUUAAUAUUGUAUGUGUGCUUCCUUAUUCUAUCAGUGGAGCAUUGACUGGUUCCAAAAGCCUUAUGCUAUCUUACACACUUAUCCAGAAAACUACCUGAAAGUCUUUAGUGGAUUGUUUUUUUCUUUGUUUGUUUGUUUGUUUGUUUGUUUUCCCUUAGUAAGGGAUUUCUUUUUUAAUUUUGAGUUUUCUUGGAUUAACUGACACAGCCUGUGCUGCUUGUGCAGUGAAAACACUUGCUGUCUUAACUACUUCUUCUAGAAGCCUAGGAACAUUCUUCUUCUAGAAGCCUAGGAACAUUCUAGAAACAUUCUUUAGCUGUCAUGAUCGCUGCUCUCACUGUGCCAUUAUACUUAGACAAUCACCUAUUCUUUUUUUUUCGUGUCUGCUUAUUAAUAUAUAUUUUUCUUUAUUUUUGUCAAUGUUAUAAACAUGUCGUCGGUGUCACUGCUGAAGCAUUUGUCUAAAGCUGCUAACACAUCAUUUAAAUUAGCAGUUGAAGGUGUAUGUGGGCCUAUUUGUAGUUUAUCCAAGCACAGCACAGCACAACGUCUCACAAACAACAAAGAAAAAAAUACAGUUUACCUCCAACUUUUCUAAAAAAAAUAAAUCAAACAAUGCAUGCCAAUUUCAUAGAUUAUAACAUUUCUAAAGUAACAUUUGGGUUCAAAUGACCCUUACCCCGCCAGCCUUCCCCCCCACCCCCAUCCUACCCUCACACCGUGUCUUUCAGUGUUGGGCGGAGCCUUAGUCCUCCAGCCGUCUGUGUGUGAUCAUGCAUGCUUCUACUGCUGUGGCCAUCUGUGCAGGAGGACAGGGCGACGGACCCUGGGCCACUCACAUUGGACACUUAAAGACUAAAAAAAGGCAAAUGCAGAUGAAAGUAGCUUGUUCUGCGAUGUCACGAAGAAUGAUCUGUAGUCACGGACAUAUUUUGAAAUAAAAUGAUUGAAAACA